ensembl:piRNA 21ur-4150 ncRNA
UGAUGAUUUAUUCUACAAGGA